GCAUUAGUAGCUCAAGUUUAGAGCGCCGGUCUUGUAAACCGGAGGUUGAAGGUUAAAUUCCCUCCUAACGCU
rnacentral:tRNA from 1 species